GACGAACGCUGGCGGCGUGCUUAACACAUGCAAGUCGAACGAAGUGGCGAACGGGUGAGUAACGCGUAAUCAACCUGCCCUUCAGAGGGGGACAACAGUUGUAAACGACUGCUAAUACCGCAUACUGAAGGAGGGGAUUGCGGCUGAUUAGCUAGUGGGAGGGGUAACGGCCCACCAAGGCGAGGAACAGUAGCCGUCCGGAGAGGAUGAACGGCCAAAUUGUGACUGAGAAACGGCCCAGACUCCUACGGGAGGAAGCAGUGGGGAAUCUUCCGCAAUGGACGAAAGUCUGACGGAGCAACGCAGCGUGAGUGAUGACGGCCUUCGUGUUGUGAAGCUCUGUUAAUCGGGACGCGGUACCGGAAUAGAAAGCCACGGCUAACUACGUGCCAGCAGCCGCGGUAAGAC
rnacentral:rRNA from 1 species